UAGAUAUUUAGAAGAUAGAAUCGUCAUUGAUUUAUUGCACACUUUUCAAAGGAGCAAUGAGAAAGACAUUCAUCACUUUUCUCUCCUUGGCUUUCAUGAUGCUUAUUACAAUAGGCUUGCAGAGUGUACGAGAUUCAGUUUUGAUAGGUGAACCAUGCACAACAGUUGCGGAUUGCCGCCAUUCUUGUCAACAUGGCAUGAUCUACUAUUGCGCCAAUGGAUACUGCCAAUGUGAUAUGAAGGAGGAGGCUAUCGGCAAAAGUGCAACUGGAGUUUUUAGAAAACUUGUAUAAAUUAAUAUGUUAUCACAAUGUCCUUUCAUUAGUGGAAAUAAUGAAGACUUCAAAUAUUAAUUGAGAA